rnacentral:rRNA from 1 species
CCUACGGGUGGCAGCAGUGGGGAAUAUUGGACAAUGGGCGAAAGCCUGAUCCAGCCAUGCCGCGUGUGUGAAGAAGGCCUUCGGGUUGUAAAGCACUUUCAGUGGGGAAGAAAGCCUUGGGGCUAAUACCCUCGAGGAAGGACAUCACCCACAGAAGAAGCACCGGCUAACUCCGUGCCAGCAGCCGCGGUAAUACGGAGGGUGCGAGCGUUAAUCGGAAUUACUGGGCGUAAAGCGCGCGUAGGCGGUCUGAUAAGCCGGUUGUGAAAGCCCCGGGCUCAACCUGGGAACGGCAUCCGGAACUGUCAGGCUAGAGUGCAGGAGAGGAAGGUAGAAUUCCCGGUGUAGCGGUGAAAUGCGUAGAGAUCGGGAGGAAUACCAGUGGCGAAGGCGGCCUUCUGGACUGACACCGACGCUGAGGUGCGAAAGCGUGGGUAGCAAACAGGAUUAGAUACCCCUGUAGUC